GGAAGGGGAGGUGGGGUGGAUAUAUAACACCUUGAGAAUGUCCACAGGUAGGAAAACUCAGUUUUUCAAUCAGCAGUGGUCAAAUAACAUAAGAAAUAGCCAUAAAUUGAAAUUACUUUUACACUCAUUGAGGCUGAAGUAAUACAAAAGAGUACUGUGCAGAAACAAGCAGUCACAGUAGUGACUCACCCAAGAUAUGACAUCAAUAUACUCGGGUUGUACGAGUCUGUUUGCUAUUGCUGUGACAAAACAUUCUGACCAAAGGCAACUUGAGAAGAAAGGAUCUGGGUGGCCUACACUGUCACAGCAAGAGCUCGACAGGAACCUAGAGCAGAGUCCAGGGGCCAACGCUGCUUACUGGCUUGGCCUAAUUUUCAUGGCUUGCUCCCCUUGUUUUCUUACACAACUCAGGACCACCCGCCUUCAGUGGGCUUACCACACCAAUGGAGGAUCAUUAGACAAAAAAAUGCCCCACUGACUCAUCACAGGCUACUCUAAGGAAGGCAACCCCAUAAUUAAGGUUCCCCUCUUUCCCAGUGACUUUAGUUUCUGUCAGGCUGACAAACACUAACCAGGGAAAGGAUGUUUUCUCUUGGAAGGGUCAGCACUUCUAGCUAAUGCAGCCACACCCUUCCUUACCUACAUUUCCCACCAAAUAAACUAGGAGACAUUAAAAAUGAAGGGACCAUUGCCCAUCUUUUAACUUGUCAUCUACUGCUAUACUAGGCUGAUUGUCUUCAUUCUUAGAAACAGCAGUUUUGUCUCAGUUAAUUUUGAAGCAUUUACCUCUUUACAUUUGGUGUAGAAUGGUACUAGACACAAGCAUAGAAAUUAAACCGCUGUGCACACACACACCAAAUUAUAAAAAGAACUCUGUUCCAGCUCUGAAGGGUUUAUAUCUUAAUUCAGUCUUUCAUGGAGGUAUUGAGUACUUGGGAUUUGAAUUGGACGAUAACCUUGCAUUUCCAGUUGCCGUGUGACCUUGGCAUUUGAUUUUUAAGAGGCUCAAUUUCCCCGUUUGUAAUUGUUGCCUUCAAGUGCAGCUUAUAUUAUCCAGUCUAACUUCGGAUAUAUAAACCAAGGAAAUUAAUCUAGGGAACUGCUAAUUUGACGCUGGUGAGGUUUCUCUCUUUUCUGACCACCUUUAGUACCUGGUCUUAUUCAAAACAUCUUUCAUGCCCGUUCACCUAGAAACUGGGACGUGUUUUGCACUGCAGCUAAGUGUGUGUGUGUGUGUGUGUGUGUGUGUGUGUGUGUGUGUGUGUGUGUGUGUGUGUGUGUCCGCGGGCGCGCUAGGAGGCGUCACAAAGAGCUUAUGAAAGGUCGGAGAGGCCCCUACCCACAGCAAGCUAUGGGAGAACUGUGAGGAACCUAGGAAGGGCGCUGCGCCCAAACCUUUGGUUUCAAGGCCCUCUUUGUGACAAUAUUCAGUGGGCUUGGGCUCUGCGGCUGGAAAGGAAAAGCCCCAAGUCACGGAACUGCGCUCUUUCUGCCAUGUCCCAGCCGGCCCCGCCCUCCAGCAGGAGUGAACCCGCAAAAAAAAUGGGUUCGGAGGCGGCUGCGGCAAGAUAAGGGCCAGCAGGACAAGGAGAGUCCGGCUAGGGCAAAGGCAGGGAGAAAGCGCCGCGCCCUGGGAGAACCGUGUAAACUCAGAGGUCUAGGGCGCCGGCGACCACGCCGGGCUGCCGGGCGCGCGAGGACCCGAGGGGCAGCAGAGCGCAGGCGCGCCCACACCGCGCUCCCCCGCCUAGCCACGCCCCCUGCCCCCCCCGCCCUCGCGUCCCAUUUGGUACAGACCUGCCGGCGGGGCGGGGCCGCGGACGCCAUUCCCACAAUGCUCCGGGGCGUGCCGCCGCCGUCGCUGCCGCCUCCGCUACCGCUAGUGGAAGAAGAUGGCGGAAGGCGGAGCGGCGGACCUGGACACCCAGCGUUCUGACAUCGCGACGCUGCUCAAAACCUCGCUCCGGAAAGGGGACACCUGGUAUCUAGUAGAUAGUCGGUGGUUCAAACAGUGGAAAAAAUAUGUUGGCUUUGACAGUUGGGACAAAUACCAGAUGGGAGAUCAAAAUGUCUAUCCUGGACCCAUCGAUAACUCUGGACUUCUCAAAGAUGGCGAUGCUCAGUCACUUAAGGAACACCUUAUCGACGAGUUGGAUUACAUACUGUUGCCGACUGAGGGCUGGAAUAAACUUGUCAGCUGGUACACACUGAUGGAAGGCCAAGAGCCAAUAGCAAGAAAGGUGGUAGAACAGGGCAUGUUUGUAAAGCACUGCAAAGUGGAAGUCUACCUCACAGAACUGAAGCUCUGCGAGAAUGGGAACAUGAACAAUGUUGUAACUCGGAGAUUUAGCAAAGCUGACACAAUAGACACAAUUGAAAAGGAAAUAAGAAAGAUCUUCAAUAUUCCAGAUGAAAAGGAGGCCAGACUGUGGAACAAGUAUAUGAGUAACACAUUUGAGCCACUGAAUAAGCCAGACAGCACCAUCCAGGAUGCCGGCCUAUACCAAGGACAGGUGUUAGUGAUAGAACAAAAAAAUGAAGACGGAACGUGGCCCAGGGGUCCCUCUGCUCCUAAGUCCCCAGGUGCAUCCAAUUUUUCAACUUUACCAAAGAUCUCUCCUUCAUCUCUAUCAAAUAAUUAUAACAACAUCAACAACAGAAAUGUGAAAAACUCCAAUUAUUGUCUCCCGUCAUAUACUGCUUACAAGAACUAUGAUUAUUCGGAACCUGGAAGAAACAAUGAACAGCCAGGCCUGUGUGGCCUAAGUAACUUGGGAAACACAUGUUUCAUGAACUCAGCCAUUCAGGAGUUCAUGCUCUGGUGAAUGCAUGAUCUUAUGAAUACCUAAGAUAUAUCAGAAUAUAUGAUCUAUAUAAUGUUUUGACAAAGAAGAAAAGAAAGCCAUCAGAAAAUAAGUGAAAUGUCACCAAGAAUUACCGGUUUUCUAAAGUAGUGAGCAUACAUGAGCACUUGAAUCGGGUACUGGAGCGCCUGAGCAGAGAGGGUUCAUACUCAGCAUUACAAAAGACAACUUUCUCUUUUUGAAGGGGAUUGCUUUGACUGUUUUCCAGGUACUGGGGCAAUUCCAGAUUCAUUACAACUUAUGGGAUGGCUAUUAACUAUUUAUAUGUUGAUCUCAGACUUGGUUGGGUUGUAUAGUAAGACUGAGUUCUUCAGUUUUACAGAAAACUAAGUAGAAGUUUAUAAUUAAGACUCAACAUCCAUUAACUGAAAGUUUUAUCAGACAAUUCACAGGGCAUCAGUCUCACUAACCAGAGCAUACUUAAUAAAAGAAUAAGUCUUUUACUUUUAAAAACUAAUGUGGGGGUUGGGAAUUUAGCUCAGUGGUAGAGCGCUUAAGGCCCUGGGUUCGGUCCCCAGCUCCAAAAAAAAAAAAAAAAAAAGCUAAUGUAAAUUAUGAAAGAAUAUGUGUACAUAAGUGAAAAUUAGAUGCAAUCCCUUCUACCUUUUGAACAAAAUAUUUCACAUGGUAUUCCAGUUCUAGCAUGUUGGGCUAAGGACACUUAAAACUGGGUUGUUUUUCAUAGGCAAUUCUUUAUGAAAUACUUGUAGCUUUCUGUAUUUGCUUAUAAUACAGUUCUUGGAGUUGUAGUAGGUACAUUGAAGCACAUAGCAGAAUGCCCAGGAAAUAAGACAUUUGGGUAUUUAGGAAUCUGUAGAAGUUUUGCUUAGUUUCUGCUUACAGAUUUCAAACAACAGUUUUAGCUCAUACACACGUGGCUUGGCAGACAUUGAGGUGUUGACAGACGCUGCUUUCCCUUGUUAGGAAGGGUGCAUGGUGUCUCUAGGUAUUAGAGGACUUUUUGAACAUAUAUAACUGUUGGAUAAGAAUUAUAACCAGGAGCAAUUUAAGAGUCCUUUUGGGUGCCUUCCUGUGCCAGUGUCUGAGUCUCUCCUGGGACUGUUUGUGUCUCUCCCUUCUGUGCUGUCUGUCACUCACUCAGUUAACAUUGGUUUAGGCUGUCAGGCCAGCACUGGACUGGAUGCUAAGGCAAAUGGUGAUAACACGCCGACUCUGAGAGAGUUAGAAGUACAGGUACCCAGAAGAGGGAGCAUCGGUCCUACUGAGGAAAGUAGAACACUGAACACCAGAGGCCCACGGAUUUCUCACAGGAAGGAAGACAUGUAAAGCUUCUAUUCAGUACCUGAAACUCAGGAAUAGACAUGGGAAUUCAGACUACUAAUUCAGUCAAUACUAAUAAUUUCCAGUAUCCAUUGUAAAAUAUACAAGCACACACAACCCCUUCGAGAGACAGAUAGUGAGCGGUCACUUCUCAUCAAUUUGUUUAUAUCCUCAUAUUAUUUAUUUUUAGUUAGUUCUUUGGGAAUUCUGUAAUGUAUUUGCUCAUGGUCACCCGACUCCCCUACUCUUCCCACAUCCACCUAACUUUGUGUCCUUUGGUGGUGGUGGUGGUGGUGGUGUUGUUGUUGUUGUUGUUUGAUUUUUUUUAUUAGAUAUAUUUCUUUACUACAUUUCAAACGUUAUUACCUUUCCCGGUUUCCUGUCCAUAAACCCCCAUACCCUCCCCUCUCCCUCCCCCAUACAGGUAUUCCCCCUAUACAUCCCCCUUAUGGCCCUCCCAUAUUCUCCUUCACUGGGGGCGGGGGGAGUCCAACCUGCAGGACCAAGGGCUUCCCCUUCCCCUGGUGCCCCAACAAGGCUAUUCUCUGCUACAUAUGCAGUUGGAGCCCUGGGUCAGUCCAUGUAUAGUCUUUCAGUAGUGGUUUAGUCCCUGGAAGCUCUGGUUGGUUGGCAUUGUUGUUUCUAUGGGGUUGCAAGGUCCUUCAACUCUUUCAAUACUUCCUCUAAUUCCCCUCAAGGGGGUCCUAUUCUUAGUUGGGUGGUUUGCUCCUAGCAUUGACCUCUGUAUUGGACGUACUCUGGAUGUGUCUCUCAGGAGAGAUCUAUAUCCGGUCCCUUUUAGCAUACAUUUUCUAGCUUCAUCAAUCUUAUCUAGUUUUGGUGGCUGUGUAUAUAUGGGCCACAUGUGGGUCAGGCUCUGAAUGGCCAUUCCUUGAGUCGUUGCUCUAAACUUUGCUUCCACAUCCCCUCCUAUGGAUAUUUUUCCCCCUUUUAAGAGGGAGUGGGAGCAUCUGCAUUUUGGUCAUCCUUCUUCUUGAACAUCUGUGGAUUGCAUCUUGGGUAAUUUGAGCUUUUUGGCUAAUAUCCACUUAUCAAUGAGUGCAUACCAAGUGUGUUUUUCUAUGAUUGAGUAACCUCACUCAGGAUGAUAUUUUCUAGUUCAUUCCAUUUGCCUAUGAAUUUCAUGAAGUCAUUGUUCUUUUUGAUUGUUUUUUAAACUCAAGUCUGAUUUGUGUUGUCAUUUUAUUUCUAGAUGUGUGGACUGUCCACUUAUCAGGGACUACAUUCUCAGAGGAAAUUCCCUCUCCAUUUCCCAGUAUUUGUCACUUGUCACUAGUUCCUUGGCCAGGGGUGGGACUCCAUGUCACUUCCUCUUUUCAUGCUGGGGUUUGUUCUAGCAUUUGCUGGCCUAGUCUUGUGCAUGCUCUCAGGACUGUCAUGUCACCUCUCCUUCCAUGUCACCUGAGUCAGGGGCUUUCUGUAGUGCUCUUCAUUCUGUAACAAGAACUACAUUAGAAAUGUACACAGAUGACCUUGUAGACACCCACCGUGGACAAAUGAGAUUGUUCAUACUUAAAUGUCUGUUGUCCUUGACAAUUUUGUAUACUGUUAGCUUACACAGAGACUAGAUAUUUAAAUAUACAAGUGUUUAGCCUAGUUGCCAAGUACAUUACUAUUUAUACUUUAAGUUGCUUACUUUUUUCUUCUUUUACAUUAAGAAUUGUAGAUACUAUUAAGAAUCUCUUAGAUCUGGUUAUUGCGUUAUUUUUUAGUUAGUAUAGAUGUUUCUUACUUGAUAGUAGCUUCAUCAUGACAUUUUCAAGAAUGGUAUUGCUUCCUUUUUAACUUUGUCCUCCACUUGAGGAACAAACUCUUCAGCCCAAUUAUAAUUAAAACAAAUCAUGGCUUGAGGUCUCUGUGUUUUAUCCCAGUGCUGAGAAAGCUAAGGGAGGGGAGCGAUGGGGAUUUCAUAAUCAACCUUGGCUAUAUAAUAGGACCAUAUCUCAAAAACAUAGAGAUAUGUGGAGCUUACUAACAAUACAUUUCCUCAUCUUUGGGCCCCAUUUUAUUAUAGAUAAUUAGGAGAUCUAAUUUUCUUGAUUUUGAUGUUUGAUGGUGUCAGAUGGUUAAGUUUCAAUAAAUUAACAGAGACCGGUAUCAUGUCAGAAAUUUCCAAAGCAGUAGAUUAACUAAUUCUGUUUAUACAUUUGUAUUUUCAUACAACAUGCUCAUGUUUUGGUUUUGCUAACCACUACCAUAUAUCUUAGGCAGCUAGAGUUGUCUUGUUCAAUUUUAUAGUCACGGCAGUAUUUAGCCUCCCAGUAGAGUCUAACAUUAGACUUUCAGUCCAUAUUCUAUCAACCAAAGGUCUUUGUGGUAAAAGGAGAAUUUCCUGCUUUAAAUAUGAAGAAAUGUAUACAUGUGUGUGUUUAAGGGUGGACUGUACACGUGUGUAUAUUUAAGGACCGACUGCACAUGUGUAUAUGUUUAAGGACGGACUGUACACAUGUGUGUGUUUAAGGCAGGACCUGUUCUUUAGAGCAUUGUGUUUAAUAGCAACUGUCUCAGUCAGCAAAGACUUUAAGACAGGCUCCUAUGAACACUCUAAAUGAUGAGUCUCAUAUAAUAACUUCAGAUCAAACAGCAACACAACCAAAGUUUAAAAACCAGUUUCAUCUCUUCUCCUAAAAUGACGAUGUUGAAUGUGGAUAGAACAGCUCCUACAAUAUGGAAACACUUGGCUGCUUGACCUUUAUUCUAGCUGUAACUUGACGUCUACACAUAAAGUUAUAGUAACUUGUCCUUACAUGAUUUAAAGAACAUGACUUCUGAUGUACCAGUAUUUUCAAGAUUCAGAGAAUUUUCUGAUAUCACUUUACUUUUUUUUUGUUUUAAUGCACAAAAACACAGGGUUAGUAACAACAGCUACUACUUAAUCACACUUUUUCUGUGCAAUUUUAUGGUAGCUACAGAAAGCAGAGAGUAUGCCCAUUGUUCAGAAGGGAAAAACUGAAGUUCAUACAAUUCAGCCUCGCAACGGACUACUGGAACUAGGGUUUCAACCCAGAUUCCAAAUCAUAUGCUAUGACUACAUUAUAUAUUUCUACAUUAUAUAUUUCUGAAUUUCCAAUUUCAUACAUGAAAAGCCUAAUGGUCACAUAGUGAUACAUAAAGGCCUGCUACUUACCUAAUACAAGUAUGUCCAUUUUAUUUCUUUUUUGUCUGAAGGGGACUGGCAGAAUUACUAUAUGCAGUUACUCUGCUAAUUAACCUUCCACUAUUUGUAUAGCACAUAAGAAAUUACAAUGCUCACAUCACUUUACUUCUUAAGUUAUUGUGAUUUAUAUUAGUCAAACAAUAGCUAUUGGACCCCUUUAAUAUUAUAUUCAGCGAGCAGAAUGUUUAAAUUUGACUAUUGAUUAGGACACCUCUCCAUAGGUAGUAUAGGCCCUACUUGUUAAAAGUCUUUGUAUUCCAUUAUUUAGUUUGGCAGUGCUGAAUUAUAACGAGUUCAAACUGACAUGUGUCCUUGGGAAAAUAAAUGUUAGUCUAGAAAAUCGGAAGAGACUCACUGUAAAGCCAACAGAAAGUCAGACAUAGAAGUGUGGUGUUUUCAGUGCAUACUGUCGUUUUGUUUCAUUCUUGGGCUUUUGAGGUACUUUUGAUACCAUUCGUUAUAAGCAAAUACAUACUUACCACAUGUGUGAAGAUUUUGUUUGACAAAAAUAGAAUAUUAUGUUCUAAGAUUGAGAGGAAAAGAAUUAAGGCUGAGAGAAUGUAGGCAUUAGUAAAUCCUGGCAGAACAUUGUUAAUAAACAUGUGUACUUACUGUGCAUGGACUAAGUGAUAUACUCAGCGCUGAGAUUACAAAUACAUACGCUGUCAUGGAAGUCAUAGCCCACAAGUCAUAGACCAACAAUAAUGUUAUGAUGUGUUAAAACAUCAGUGCUGGACUCAAAAUGAUCACUAAGCAGUGCACUAAGCAGGAAACAUUGUUGAACUGAGAGCCAGUCUCCAGUAUGCUGUCUGAAUCUCAGUCAGAGGGUAAGGCAAGAAGCUCUGUUUUGAGAUUGGUGAGGCUGUACAGGGGUGCUCCGCAGAGAGAAGAGCGUCAGAGGUUACGGGGCUGGUAAUGCGAGUAAAGGAAUUGUCAGGGGACAAGGGCUAAGAAAGAGGUUCAUCUAGGAACUGGGGGUUCCAGUAUGAUUACAAGGAUUUAUUGAAGGUUUUAUAGCCAGGCAUUAAUAUGAUUAAACACAUAUUUAAGAGAUCACUAGCUAUGAAUAGAGAGGUAAUUUUUCUUCAGUUGUUGUUGAAAGAUCUUGCAAGUCAAGGAUACAUAGCACAUGAAUAAUUAAGUAAAAACUGAAGUUCAGAAUUUAUUCAUGUUUGCAACAUUUGUUUUUGAAUUAUUUUUAAAGCCAUAAAUUUGGUUGAUUAUAUGAGUAUAGUAAUAGACUUUAGUGGAACCAACAUUAAUAUAACCCUGAGCAAGUCACAAAGUGAGGAUUUGCAAACUAAGUGUUGUCAGAUACUGCUGUGACAGGCCCCUUUGCCCAAUGUUUAUUUAUUGUUGAUCCUGCUUGUGGCAGAUCCAGGAUACCGACUGCUAAGUAAUGGCUUCUGUGUUGUGGUAUGAUCCAUAUGGCCUGGCCCUUCUCCAGUGCUGGGUUUGUAAUUAAAGGGAAGUGUAAUACUAGAGAAGAAGAUGAAAUUCAGGUGGAACAUAGAGGACUCGGGAAGAAGCUUAGGAAGUGUCCUUUCUCCCUUGACAACCUGCUCCAUUAUUAACUACCCUAUGUGUAUCUUUUAAUAAAGACAAAGUUUAUACUGUAAAGGACUCUGAAGCCCUGCAGAGCCAGCCCAGCCUGAAUCAUAGAGUUACAAUGAGACCUAGUGCCACAGCCCUGUAAUGCUAUCUGCUCUGGGAGCCAAGGAAAGAAAAGUAAAAGUUCAAGGGUUUGUGAUACAGAGUGAGUUCAAGGCCAGCCUGGGCAACUUAAAAUCUUGUCUCAGAAUCAAAAGUACAGUAAGAAGGUGGGAAUGGGGAGGUUGGAACUCAGAAUAACGGAUUACUCUCUGGCAGCCCAGGGACCUGAGGAGGGGAGGGAAGAGUCAGGACAGUAAGUUCUAUGAUAAAGUAAGUUCCAAGUUCAUCUUGAGGGGCAGGGUAGAAGUCAGUUUAGAUAACAUUCAGAUUGUAUAAAUAUUAUGACUACUCAGUAAACAUACGUUUUUAAAUAAAUAAGACAAAACAUGAGUAACAUAACUUUCUUGAAAGAACUAAAUAAAAGUAAAAUAUGCUUAUUUGGGUGUUUAACUGAACUACGUAGUACGGUCAUAAUUUAAAUUACUUGUAUGUACACCCAGCAACCUGAUCUUUUCAUAGCUACGAAGCCUAUUUAAGUUAAUGCAACUUGGUGGCAUACCAGGUCUCCAAAACUUUGAUUUCCAUGAAUUUUAAUUGAGAUUCAACAAAUGGAUCUUUAAAACUUUGCAUGCAGGCAAUUGAUUUCCCAUUCAGCACUUUGUCACUGACUCUAAGACACAUAAACUCCUACAUACAAAUAUGUGUGUGGGUAUUUCUAUGACUUACCUGAUUAUAUAUGGAUGUGAGACAUUGCAUAUUUGAAACAUUCAUUAAUAAAGCAACAUGGCAUUCUCUCUGAGCUGGAAUCAUAUGGCAUCAUCAAUUUAAAAUUAUUUCAAAUAAUUUUGGAAUAUUAUAAACAUUACAAGUUUUGGAGUAAAAUAUUGUGGAAAAUAUAUCUACCAUCUUUUAAAUUUUUUAAUUAGGAAUUUAUUCAAAAUAAAGAAUUGGAGAAAAACUUUGCAGUUUUUCAUAAACAAUAAUUAGAUUGUUAUUGUAUUAAGAGCUUCAAAAGAACAUAUCCAGAGUUUGCCUAAAGUUUGUUUUUAAUAGGUUUUCCUGGUCAGUACUACCCUUUCUAAACACCACUACUAGCUGAAUGACAGAGUUAAACACUGUCAUUUAUGAUUAGGCGCUGGCUGCAGAAGCAGUAAAUCCAUUUGUUGUGACAUUAUCCGUGGGGUGCUGCUAUCAGCAUCCACAGGUACACAGUGCUUUAUAGUAAGAGGUCUACAGGGUCACAUAGCCUGUGUAUGUCCUCCUGUGUACUGUAGAUCAUCUCUAGGUUGCUUAUAAUACCUUUAUAUUGUACUGGCUAAAGAAUAAUGAUCAAAAAAAAUUUUGUUCAGUAUGAAUGUAAUACAAUUUUUUUUCAAAUAUUUUCCUAUCUGCAAUUAAUUUGAGUCCACAAACCAUCUGUGCCUCUUUUAGUUGAUUUUUUUGCCUGCACACUAUCUCAGUUUUAUCUACUCUGGCUACUUUGCAGCUGCCUGGGAUACUUAGACGGUCCAUAUUUCCACCAAUCAAGUAAAGGAAGGAAAGAAAAUACUGAGCUUCACUCCCAGUUAACGGGUAGUUUGCUGUGGUUAAAAUUAUGCAGAUUUUGCAGCAACAAAUAUUAGUGGUUUUGUUUUUAGUAGUAAGUAGCUGAGAGCUUGGGAAUUAAGUGAUCUCAAUGCUCAUCUGAGUGUUUAACUGCUACUCAGCAUGGGGAACCAUGUAUAUUUCUCUGUGUGUUACAGCAAAUUGACUAGCUUCACUCUUCAUUGUAACAUUUUAAGUAUGCAUGUGGUUUCUUUUGCUCUAACAUAUGUUUUUGCUCCUUGCAGUGUUUGAGCAACACACCUCCACUUACUGAAUAUUUCCUCAAUGAUAAGUACCAAGAAGAGCUGAAUUUUGA